GAGGAAAGUCUCGUGAAAGAUAGAGACGCAAUAUUUGAGUUGGAAAAGCCUGAAGAAAUUCCUCUUCCGAAGAAAAAUGAAGUUGACGAGAUGAAGUUGAAAGAAUUGAAGCGAGAGGAGGAGAUGGCUAAAGCUGAGCAGGCAUUGAAGAGGAAGAAAAAGUUGGCAGAGAAAGCGGCUGCAAAAGCUGCCAUAAAAGCUCAGAAGGAAGCUGAAAAGAAACUCAAGGAAAUUACUUUUGUAUCCACACAUUUCAAGAUUUUAUGUAAACAAUAAACUUGGUGUGGACUUACAACUGAUGAAAUUUGUGAUUUUUUUUAUUUACUUGCAGGAUCGUGAGAAGAAAGCAAAGAAGAAGGCUGUGGCUGAACCUUCUUCUGCUAUUCCUGAGGAACCAACUGAAUUAGCUGAUGAGGUUAUGGAACCGGAAGAGUCUGAUGGGAUUGUUGAGGCAGCAGUGCCGUCAAAGACUAAGAAACGGAAGGGGAAAACAGUCGGGCAGAGAGGUAAAGCAAAGGGACCGGAUUCACUUCCAAGAAUCAUACUCAAGCGGAAGAAGUCGAC
rnacentral:lncRNA from 1 species